AUGAACGCUGGCGGCGUGCCUAAUACAUGCAAGUCGAGCGAAGGGACGAGAAGCUUGCUUCUCUGAUGUUAGCGGCGGACGGGUGAGUAACACGUGGAUAACCUACCUAUAAGACUGGGAUAACUUCGGGAAACCGUAGCUAAUACCGGAUAAUAUUUUGAACCGCAUGGUUCAAAAGUGAAAGACGGUCUUGCUGUCACUUAUAGAUGGAUCCGCGCUGCAUUAGCUAGUUGGUAAGGUAACGGCUUACCAAGGCAACGAUGCAUAGCCGACCUGAGAGGGUGAUCGGCCACACUGGAACUGAGACACGGUCCAGACUCCUACGGGAGGCAGCAGUAGGGAAUCUUCCGCAAUGGGCGAAAGCCUGACGGAGCAACGCCGCGUGAGUGAUGAAGGUCUUCGGAUCGUAAAACUCUGUUAUUAGGGAAGAACAUAUGUGUAAGUAACUGUGCACAUCUUGACGGUACCUAAUCAGAAAGCCACGGCUAACUACGUG
rnacentral:rRNA from 1 species